CGUAUUCCGACCGAACAAUUACAAAGUUCAUUGGUAAUACAACUUCAAGUUGUCGGCGUUCCAAGUUCGGGGAAUGGGUUUCCCUUCAAGGGUCUCCAGUCGGUAGGCUCUCGGACCAUAAGUGUCUGCUACCUUGUAGGGCCCUUCCCAAUUUGGAGCCAACUUCCCUUGAUCCAGGGGCUUCGAGACCUCAGCCUUCCUCAGG
rnacentral:lncRNA from 1 species